UGGUAAUAUUAUCAAAAUGAUACUAAAUCAGCAGAAAACUAAUUAUUAAAUAUUUUAUUUUAAUAGAUCAUUUAUUAGUCAUUUUACUUUAAUAAAUUACUUUUUAGUAAGGAAUGAUAAAGAUCAACCUGACAAGUGUGUAUGAAAUCCCCUUAAAAAUUAGACCUAACUAUUACUGAGAAAAUAUAGAUACAUCAAAAAGAAACCUAAUAAAUAAAUUAGAACAUAGAAGAAAUAUAAUAAAAGGAUAAUUACAAACUUAUGGCCUUAAUGAACAGGUUCUGCAGGAAUGUUACCUUGGAGGAACACCAUUUAGAAGACAUUAUUUUCAAAACAUGAGUUGUGUUUGUUUUUUUUAUAAAUGGCAUACCAGUACCUUUUUCUAUCCAGAAUUAUAUAACAAUAAAUAUAUUAUUACUGUGCAUUGCAGCAUUUUCAAAAUCUCCCACUCCACAUGCCACCCUGUAUGUAUUUACAAUCUUUUUGCUGAUUUUGUUUUUGACACCAAUUUUUUUUUUUGUUUGUUUGUCUCAAAAACAAUGUUUUUGUUAAUUCUUUCAUACCCCCUU
rnacentral:lncRNA from 1 species